CGGGUGAGUAACACGUGGGUAACCUGCCCAUCAGAAGGGGAUAACACUUGGAAACAGGUGCUAAUACCGUAUAACAAUCGAAACCGCAUGGUUUCGGUUUGAAAAGCGCUUUUGCGUCACUGAUGGAUGGACCCGCGGUGCAUUAGCUAGUUGGUGAGGUAACGGCUCACCAAGGCAACGAUGCAUAGCCGACCUGAGAGGGUGAUCGGCCACAUUGGGACUGAGACACGGCCCAA
rnacentral:rRNA from 1 species